rnacentral:rRNA from 1 species
CAGUAGCCACGGGAAAACAGAGGGUGCAAGCGUUAAUCGGAUUUACUGGGCGUAAAGGGCGCGUAGGUGGUUAUUUAAGUGAGAUGUGAAAUCCCCCGGCUUAACCUGGGAACUGCAUCUUAUACUGGGUAACUGGAGUGCAGUAGAGGGUAGUGGAAUUUCCGGUGUAGCGGUGAAAUGCGUAGAUAUCGGAAGGAACACCAGUGGCGAAGGCGGCUACCUGGACUGAGACUGACACUGAGGCGCGAGAGCGUGGGGAGCAAACAGGAUUAGAUACCCCGGUAGUCCCUGUCUCUUAUAC